rnacentral:misc_RNA from 1 species
CACGCACGCACACAGGCACACACACAGAGGGCCGAACAUAGUGUCCUUCGCACGUCAUCCUACUCUACUCGCCUGUCGUAGUAACGGUGCAGUGGCGCGUCUCAAACAUACUCCGCGAGAAAGGGGAAAGCCGAUUCGCUCGUUUUUUUUUUGGCUUCCAACGAAGAAGCCUCUCCUCCUCGCAUGCUGAAGCCCAGUCGUCUUGUCGGUCUGUCAGCAAGCAUCCUUGGCACCCACCUACACAUGUCCGCAGAGCAGCACACUGAGGCACAGGUGUCGGAGCUGGAGAAGCGCGCAACAAGCGCUGAGAAGCAGCUUCAGGCGCUAAGGGUGAAGCUGGAAGACGGCGCCGGCGCUGCUGCCAGCGGCGCCAAACUGGAGGCCCGUCUGCGUGAGCUGCUGAAACUCAUGUCCGAGGACCGUGAUGAAUGCGAGAUGAUACGCGCUCAACGUGACGAGCUCAUGGAGGAGAACGCCCGCCUGCGGGCGCAGGUGAUGAAGGGUGAGUACCGCAUCAAGCACCUCCUGCGUACUAUUGAGGAGAUCGAACAGGCUGGUGCGCCUCAGUGAGACGCAGAGCACACAGAUACACGCAGGGAUGGAAAAAGGAAACGUGAAGGCGCUCGAUAACUCGCAGUGACUUUGAUUCUUUUCGUUGUUUGCUUCUUCGUGGUGCCGCAAGGGCAGGAGUCGUCCUAUGCCAUCUAGGCACAGGGCGCAUCUGGCCAGCUAAAAUUGAUGAGGCUUCUUGCGCCCAUUAGGGCUGCGUGAGCACGUCCAGGUGCCCCUCCCUCUCCCCCUCCAAAAAAAAAAGGGAAAGCGAACACAUGUACUCGACAUAAAAGCAAUACUGAAACACAAGAGUACGUGCGUCCAUGUUCGCCCAGUGCGUCUAGUCAGGCAUUCACGUGUGUGCGCCACAAAAC